rnacentral:rRNA from 1 species
CCUACGGGAGUCAGCAGUGGGGAAUAUUGGACAAUGGAGGAAACUCUGACCCAGCAACGCCGCGUGAAUGAUGACGGUCUUCGGAUUGUAAAGUUCUUUUCUAAGGGAAGACGAAAGUGACGGUACCUUAGGAAUAAGCCUCGGCUAACUACGUGCCAGCAGCCGCGGUAAUACGUAGGAGGCAAGCGUUAUCCGGAAUGACUGGGCGUAAAGGGUGCGUAGGUGGUUUGACAAGUUGGUAGCGUAACUCCGAGGCUUAACCUCGGCACUACUACCAAAACUGUUGGACUCGAGUGCAGGAGGGGCAAAUGGAAUUCCUAGGGUAGCGGUGGAAUGCGUAGAUAUUAGGAGGAACACCAGUGGCGAAGGCGAUUUGCUGGACUGUAACUGACACUGAGGCACGAAAGCGUGGGGAGCAAACAGGAUUAGAUACCCGUGUAGUC